AAGAACUGCCAGUGAUAAGCUGGAGGAAGGUGGGGAUGACGUCAAGUCCUCAUGGCCCUUACGUGUUGGGCUACACACGUGCUACAAUGGCAUCUACAACAGGAAGCAAAACGGCAACGUUAAGCAAAUCCCAAAAAGAUGCCUCAGUUCGGAUUGCACUCUGCAACUCGAGUGCAUGAAGCUGGAAUUACUAGUAAUCGUGGAUCAGCGUGCCACGGUGAAUGCGUUCCCGGGUCUUGUACACACCGCCCGUCACACCAUGGGAGUUGGUUCUACCUUAAGGCAAGGUUUUAAACCCUUGACCACGGUAUAGUCAGCGACUGGGGUGAAGUCGUAACAAGGUAGCC
rnacentral:rRNA from 1 species